GACGAACGCUGGCGGCGUGCCUAAUACAUGCAAGUAGAGCGCUGAAGGAUGGUAUUUGUACCAACUGUGAGAGCAGCGCACGGGUGAGUAACGCGUGUGACAUCUGCCUUUGAGCGGGGUACAACUUGGGGAAACGAGUUAUAAUACCGCAUAAAAACUUGAAACAUAAGGUUUAAGUUAGAAAUACGCAUUUGCAUCACUCAAAGGUGAUUCCGCGUUGUAUUAGCUAGGUGGUGAGGUAAAGGCUCACCAAGGCGAUGAUACAUAGCCGACCUGAGAGGGUGAUCGGCCACAUUGGGACUGAGACACGGCCCAGACUCCUACGGGAGGCAGCAGUAGGGAAUCUUCGGCAAUAGACGGAAGUCUGACCGAGCAACGCCGCGUGAGUGAAGAAGGUUUUCGGAUCGUAAAGCUCUGUUGGUAGAGAAGAACGUGUGUGAGAGUGGAAAGCUCAUCCAGUGACGGUAACUAACCAGAAAGGGACGGCUAACUACGUG
rnacentral:rRNA from 1 species